GAUGUUGGGGUUAAGUCCCCGCAACCGAGCGCAACCCCUUGCCCUUUAGUUGCCCAGCAUUAAGUUUGGGCACUCUAGAGGGACUGCCGAGGAUAACUCGGAGGAGGGUGGGGAUGACGUCAAAUCAUCAUGCCCCUUAUGCUUAGGGCUACACACGUGCUACAAUGGGUGGUACAGAGGGUUGCCAGGCCGCGAGGUGGAGCUAAUCCCUUAAAGCCAUUCUCAGUUCGGAUUGUAGGCUGAAACUCGCCUACAUGAAGCUGGAGUUACUAGUAAUCGCAGAUCAGAAUGCUGCGGUGAAUGCGUUCCCGGGUCUUGUACACACCGCCCGUCACACCAUGGAAGUUGGGGGCGCCCGAAGCCGGUUAGCUAACCUUUUAGGAAGCGGCCGUCGAAGGUGAAACCAAGACUGGGGUGAAGUCGUAACAAGGUAACCUAAUCUAGAGCA
rnacentral:rRNA from 1 species